UGGGGUUUUUGAUUAUGUGAUUACUUGGCCGUUUUUUUAAUGAUUAUUUGAUUAUUAAGCCAAAUAUUUCAUGAUUAUUUGAUUACCUAGGACUGUAUUUUUUUAGUUUAUGAUUAUUUGAUUACUAAAGAUAAGCAAAUAUUUAAUGAUUAUGUGAUUAUAUUGACAAAAAAAUGGUGAUUAUGUGAUUACUAGGACCCC
rnacentral:lncRNA from 1 species